rnacentral:rRNA from 1 species
CUCGCAAGAGUAACAUGGCAGACGGCUGAGUAACGCGUGGGUACGUACCCCGAAGUCGAGCAUAACCCAUCGAAAGGUGGGAUAAUUCUCGAUGUUGUCGAAAGACCAAAGAUUUAUCGCUUCGGGAGCGACCUGCGUCCGAUUAGCUUGUUGGUGAGGUAAAGGCUCACCAAGGCUUUGAUCGGUAGGGGGCCUAAGAGGGUGACCCCCCAGACUGGGACUGAGACACGGCCCAG